UCUAUUUAGUAUAUGUGUCUCUAGAAGUUUCAAGACUUCCAAAGAGAGCUAAGUCAUCUUCCAAGAGAAGAAGAGACCGAUACUAGAGGAAGAAAAGGGGAAAAAUUCCAAGUUUUUCAACUUUGAUCCAAAAAUCUUGUCUUCUUGAAUUCUUGUCAAGUUCGAGGCCCUCUUCAACGUAGUAUAAUUAAUUGAGCGAGAAAAUUUCAUUUGUGGCAAGUCGAAAAUUGAAGAAAAGAUUUUGGAAGAAACGGGAUUUGAAUUUGAGUGAGCGUAAGAAGCGGAUAAGGUAUAGACGUUCUGGAUCCAUCGGCGUAGGCUGCAUACCUUCUUCUACUACAGAGUGCUCUAUUGACUC